rnacentral:rRNA from 1 species
GACGAACGCUGGCGGCGUGCUUAACACAUGCAAGUCGAGCGGAGCGGCGAACGGGUGAGUAACGCGUGAGUAACUGCCCCCCUCUCUGGGAUAACAGUUGGAAACGGCUGCUAAUACCGGAUAGUGGGGGAUGACUCGCGUCCUAUCAGCUUGUGGGUGGGGUAGUGGCCUACCAAGGCGACGACGGGUAGCCGGCCUGAGAGGGCGACCGGCCACAAUGGGCUGAGAUACUGCCCAAACUCCACCGGGGGGCAUCAGUGUGGAAUAUUGCACAAUGGGGGAAACCAUGAUGCAGCAGCGCCGCGUGCGUGAUGACGGCCUUCGGGUUGUAAACCGCUUUCAGCCAUGACGCGGUAGUGGCAGAAGAAGCACCGGCUAACUACGUGCCAGCAGCCGCGGUAAUUC